rnacentral:rRNA from 1 species
CCUACGGGCGGCAGCAGUGGGGAAUAUUGGACAAUGGGGGCAACCCUGAUCCAGCCAUGCCGCGUGUGUGAAGAAGGCCCUCGGGUUUUAAAGCACUUUCAGUGAGGAAGAACGCCUGGUGGUUAAUACCCAUCAGGAAAGACAUCACUCACAGAAGAAGCACCGGCUAACUCCGUGCCAGCAGCCGCGGUAAUACGGAGGGUGCGAGCGUUAAUCGGAAUUACUGGGCGUAAAGCGCGCGUAGGUGGCUUGAUAAGCCGGUUGUGAAAGCCCCGGGCUCAACCUGGGAACGGCAUCCGGAACUGUCAAGCUAGAGUGCAGGAGAGGAAGGUAGAAUUCCCGGUGUAGCGGUGAAAUGCGUAGAGAUAGGGAGGAAUACCAGUGGCGAAGGCGGCCUUCUGGACUGACACUGACACUGAGGUGCGAAAGCGUGGGUAGCAAACAGGAUUAGAUACCCCUGUAGUC